CUUAAUGAAUUUCUGUAACUUAGAAAUAAAUUGCAGUCUAAAUUUAAACAAAUGCUUCUUCAAUGCCUGGCCUUGCAGACCUUCCUAAAUGUAGGUGGAACUUGCUGUCUUCUGUUUGCCAAAGGUAAUGACACCUUGCUUUUUCAUCCCCUGGAGACUUUCACCCCUGCUUUAUCUUCAGCGCUUCAGUUCUGCAUCUCCCAAAUCACAGCUAGGCACCGCUAUUUGUUUGGCUUCCUGCUGACACUGAAGUUGUCUCCUUGUACUAGUAAGCACGCUCGUGUUUGCAGAGUUGGGUUGUUUGGAUGCUUUUCCUCACUAACAGUUUUCUUUUAAACUAGAAAUAUCUUAAACCUGAAUUAACACAGCCUAUUGGCUCUCAAGUACAGUUUGCUAAGUUGACAGUUUCAACAAAUUUUCAACAAAUUCUUGCUUUCUAGGUUUGUAGCUGCCACUGAGAAGGCUGGGGAUGAGCCAAGCCAGGCCUGGAAGGAAAACCUUUUACCACAGUCAGUAUGUUGGGUAACUAUGCUCUGAGGAUCAGGGGAAUUAAUUGUGUAAUUGCCAGGAUUAGUGAGGUAAGUUGAUGAUAAUGGACUUGUUAAGAGGACAGUUUGUAUCAGGUUAGAUAAAUUACCUCUUGGUGGUAGGAAGCAGUCCUUGUUCUGUCUGAGGAGUGGAGCCCACCCUCAACUCCCCCAGGUCUUCCUGUAGUUGUCAGUACAAUACAGAGAUAGUUGUGUAAGAAAUAAUUCAGAAGUUACGGAGCUACACCUGCAUAUUGCUCUAUAAUAACAGUUGUAGAAGAAGCAGAAAAAGAACAAAUAAUUUUUUUUCAACCCUCUGCUGUUCUCGGUGUAUAUUAUUUAAAAUUUUAUUUAUAAGGGGUCUUUGUGGAAAAAGUAUUUUUAUGCUCUUGGCGAUGGCUCUGCUAUAAUAGCAGUGUGACAUAGUCCGCACGGGCUGCUGCUUAAUUAUUUUUCCUGGUGGCUCAAACUUUAUUUUACAUGCUUUGCAUUUAAUUUUUCUUCAUUUUUUUUUUCAUUUUCUUUUGAUUUUUCCUCUCUUUUCUCAGAAAAAGCUUUUCCAUUUUACAGCAGCAGCCAUCUGACAAAACAAAGCGCAUGGUGCAUCAAAGAUGUAGGUUGUCCCUUCAGUUUUAAAAAUCAAGGGGAAAGCAGAGUUCUUUCAUUUCUUCCUUCUCUUCCUUGUCUGCUUAGCUGAGAUGAGAUCAAACAAUCCUGUUUUAUGAGUGAUAGAACAAGCUACAUGCCUGUCUCGCAGCAUCCCAGCUGUAGAGACUGAAUCAACUGUUUUGGAGGCUAUUUAAUUAUGUCAGCACUCAGCACAUUCAAAAAUGCUCCAGAUGUGCUCUUGCAAUGAGAUUGCUUGCAGAAUCAGCUUUAAAUUAUCGUUCUUUCUGGAAGGCAAAUGCUUCUAGCGGUAUAACUCCCAUUAAUGAAAAUGAAAAAUAUUUUCAUAAGCCAGGGAUGAAAUAGUGGAUUUCAAAUACUGGUUGAAUGACCAUAUUUUUAAAAAAAAAAUUUCAUCCAAUAGGAUGUUCACACCUAGCACACAUGUACAUCUGCCAUUACCGUCAGUAUAAGAUCCAAAAAGUAUGACAAAUACAGCACCUCAAAAUGUCCUGGAGUUUGUAUGUGAAGCACAUUUACUUAAAAACAGAAUUACACUUGCCAAGGCUUGAGCAUCUCAUAAAGGUGAAGUAUAUACAGGGUUUUUUAUUAAUCUAAGCUAUGAUCUGAGUAGUAAAUUCAGGAAAACAGGCUUUUUGGGGUAGGGUGAAAUUUAGCUUUUGAAUUAUCUUGCUUUUUAGUGCCUUUCACCAACUUUGUAUUUUGAGCCAGGCCCUGCAGUGUUAGUUUUGUUGGUAGAAAAUUGCUGCCUUGUGUCUUGGUGCAGCUGAGGAUGUUCCUUGCUCUGACUUUUGUGUCUGCUAAUGGGGCAGCUGAUCUCUUCAUUUGCUGCAGCAGCUUUCAAGCAAACUGACAAGCAAAGACUGUUUUGGGGCUAGAAAUUAAAGGUCAUGAUGGUCAUCUCUAUCAUCACCUUUCAUAGUAAGUACUGAAAGCUGGAUCUUGAACUUUAAGCACUGCCAGGGAUCAGGCUGCCCAUUGCUUGACAUCUUGAGAUGCAUAGUCCUGUCUUCAUACAGGAGCUUAAAGCUUGGGGAAUGUGGAGUAUGUUGUUGCUAAAUAAAAUUGUUAUUAUUAAAGGCAAACAAUAAAGGCAAUCAUACCUGUUUGGGGCACUGCACAAAUGCAAAAUUUAAUAUUUAGGAUCUUUCCUAGUCCCUGUGCUCAUGAAGAUUCUCCAGACACCCUGUGAAUGGCCCCCCUACGCCUUUCCUAGUCUGACCAACUUCUUCUGGUGUCUGACCAACUUCUUCUGGUCCAAGAAGCUCACUGGAGAGAGGCUGCUGGUGCCUGUCUCCUGGGAGCUGGGAAGGGACUGACUACCAGCUAUAGUAAUUGGUAGCUGUAUUGAGAUGAAUAUGAGUAUUGUGACUAUUGCAAUUGCAUGAAAACUCUGCAGAAAAGUGCCUCUCCAAUCCCCUGGGCGAUCUACAGUUGCUUCUGGUUCAGUCCCUCUAAGUGACUGAGCAGGUUGGAGCUGGCUCUGGGUGUCCACCACAGCUCAUGCACCCACCCCGAAAUAUCCCACAGCCAUCAAGCAGCUCAUUGCUGUUGGAAGCAGAAAGCAUGUCUGCUUCAGUGGUUCUUGGGAAGAUGAGCUGCUGGGACGUAAUGCACAAUGUCCUUUGGGAAUGAAAAAUUGAAGCAUUUGGGGGAAAAAUCAAGAUGAAAUAUUUCAACAUCUUCCAUUUCUUCAGUACAACAGAUCCCAUUUCCAAUUCUAGCCAGGUACUUCAUGAGCUUCAUUGACUCCCAAAGUGCAUGUAUUUUUCUGUGAAAUGAUAUUUGAAGAAUGCCUUAGCCCAGCUCUGUGAUUCAGGGAUGUUUUCUCUCCCUCCUGCCCACCCUGUUCCUGCCCCAAGCAAGGCAGAGCUGCUGGCAGAGGUGAGCGAGGCUGGAGCACAGCAGUGUCUGGGGCUACUGAGCACAAACUCCAUGGUGCUUUAUUCCUUUUCUGCAUCUCUCGCUCCCUGCUGGAUUGCCACCCUUCUGACUCAAACCUUACUGAAAAUUUAUUCACCUACAGAGAUGCUGAAUUUGUCUAUUUUUUUCCAUGAAAAUGGGAAAAAUUAGGGUUUAUGAAAAAAUGCAUUAUCUGUAUUUAGCCACCAUAACAUGGUUAUUUCAUUCUUCUUCACUAUUUAAACAAAAUUCCCAAUGUGGCUGCUAUUAGGGAUGGAGGGCUGUAGGAGAAACAUGUUUUGCUCUGCCCAUUGUUCAUUUUGCCCAUGUAGUUGCAGGCAGGCAUUGACCCAAUACUCUCAGCCUCCCUUCCUCUUUCCCCUAUUCCUAAAUUCUCCAGUCUCACAACAGAAAUAAUCUACAAAAGCUCCCCUGAAAGGAGUUCUAGUUAUACUUUAGGCAUGUUUUUCACUGUUUUGUUUCACUCCAAUCCUUCAUGAGCUCUUACCCUGUUCUCCUGCAGGCUCCAGUGGAAACCAAAUCCAUGGGAGCACUGGCAGUGUGCUGCACUGGGGGGCUUGUGGUAACGGGUUACAACUGCUGGUGUAAAUAUAUCACGUUAUCAUUUUUUUGUCAUUGUUUGGGGCUAGAUAAAAAAGAGGAAGGGCAGUUUCCUUUCUGAAGUUGGCUUGAAUGCCAGAUGGGUUUGCAAAACCAAUAAAUACAAUGUUUUCAUCAGCUGGCUUCCCAAUGAGCAUGCCAAGAGGUGACAGCUUCUCCUGGAGCAGGAGUGAGUAGUGGGGCUCAGGUAAGGCUAAUAUUUUUCAAGCAGUGAAAAUAAGGGUAAGGCUAAUAUGUUUUCAAGCAACGCAGUCCUAACUGCUCAAAAGUUCUGUGACAGUGACACCUGCAAGUGCUAUCUUGUGGAUGUCCUCCCCCAAAAAAAGGAAAACUGGGAGAUUUACAGAGACCUAAAUGGGAGAUGAACACCCUGUUGCUGUCACCUUUCAGUAGUAGAUAGUGAUUUGGUUUUUGUGUGUGUCAGUCUUCCCAUAGAAAACCACUGGAAAAAAUGAGUUCCACUUAUUAUUAUUAUUUAAAUAUUAUUAUUAUUAUUAUUAUUAUUUAAAUAUUUAAAUAUUAUUAUUAUUAUUUAAAUAUUAUAUAUUAAUAAUAAUUUUAAAAUAUGUGUAAAUAGUGAAUUACUUUAUGCAGUAUCUUUGAGAUUAUAAAAGUGCAGUAGCUAAACAGGGUGACCCAAUCUGUGUGUCACCAUUUCUAGGAAGACCUAAAAGCUUGCUAGGCUAUUGAUGGGAUAAAAAACUCUGUUUAUGAUAUGUUGCAGUGCUGAUAGCUGUAUAGAUUGAGCUUAAUAUGCCUGAAUUCUUAGGUGGGACAUGGAGUUCUUUGAAAAGACAAAAGGCUGACAGCUUUUCCCCACUUGCAUAGUCACUGUCUAUAGGCUAAACUUGUCUCCAGGCUUCUCUCUUGUUCUGGCAGGUAUAUAUGUAGUCCCAUGUUUUGAACACAAUUGUUCGUCUUCUGUGGAAUAUGAAUUUAGGAAGAGAUCUCCAAGUCCCUAGAGUCUCAGGUAGAAAUCAGACCACAUGAAAUAUAAACAGCUGAGAAUUUACUCUCUGUGGCUGAAAAUUCAAGCCUGUCAUUUCUGUGAAGACUUCUAAUUUGUGUGUGUGAUUAAAGAUGCUCAGCCAGCCCUUCUGAAGGCGCUUAAACUAAUAAACUCUGUUUCUUACUCAAAGCACAAAACUGACAACAUCAAUUUUGAAGAGCCAGGGAAGGAGUAAGUUUGAGUAUUGCUAGGAAAAUAUUCUUCGGUGAUGAAAUCUUGUAUGCCAAGUUUUAGCUUAAAGCAAAUGCUAAGGACAUAGAUGACCCUGUAGAAAAUGUUCCUUAAAACGCCAGUGUUGACAAACUGACUUUCAAAAGUACUUAGGAUUGGCCCUGGGAGUUUAACCAUAAUCUUCAGUGGGAAUAGAUUCAGAUCAGUGCAGAGAGCCUACGUGGAGCCCAAUUGACUUCAGUGGUUACUGCACAGGAAGAAUUGCAGUUUAGACAGAUAAUAAACUGUCUGCAAUGGGGACUGUUACAGUAAUGUGUUGCCUGUAGAUGUUUCUCAGAUCUUUUUGGCACAAAAGACAAGUAUUUCACAUAAGAGCAUAAAAUAAGCUCUAAUUGAGAGUGCUUUCUAAAAAUGUGAUAUGUAUAAUAAAUGAUUACUGAAAGAAUAAAGAUGUUUAAAAUUAUUCAAAGCAACUUUGCUUUAGAGAGAUUUCAGUGUGAAUUGAUGUUAUGAAAUAAGUGAUAUAAAAUCUGCUGGAGAUAGAUUGUAGUAAGUUACGGCAUAACACUUUCUGAUUCUUUAAGUACUAUAAAAGUGUCCUAAGUAUAAAUAGGCUUACAAUUUCUCUGGAUCAUUCUUGAUGCUUGAAUAAUCUGUUGUAGCAGAGCCUCUGCCAGGCACAAACACACAUAGCUCCCAUGGAUUUUCUUCUGCAUCUAGCAGUGGCCAUGCUUUUUUUGGAUUGUUUUCCUUCCUGAAAAAUGAAAUCUAAUUAUGUAAAUACAAGCUAUACUUGUAUAUCAUGGUAGCAGGAAUCUUCACUUAUUUCAGAAACUCCUCGUGUUCUAAUUGUAUAAAAAGAAAUGAAAUAUCCCUAAGGGGAACAAGGCAAGGAAAGGAAAACUUUGGUUAUCACAGUUUUACAAAUACUCAUCUGAUGAAGGCAGCUAAGUCAUAGACUGAAGGGACGUCCAAGUCUAUGGCAAAAUGGGGAAAUUAAACUGUCUCCUACAUUGAAGUCUUUUAUAACAUGGCCUUUACUUUUACCCAAACAAUGUUAAAAACAGAAAAACGAUAAUGUAAUGUUAGAGGCAGAAAUGCCACAUGCCAUUUGGAAUGCUAAUUACUGUAAAAAGCGAUCGUAUCCACAUUUAUCUAUAGGACUUGGGAAAACUGACUGGCACCUCCCACGAAUUGCUGCUCAAACACGCUUGAGUCGCUCAGUUAGCAAGUCAGCAGCUUUCCCAUCAGCAUGGCACAUAUUUAAUAAGUCAGAGUUUCCCCAGACAAAGCAACUUCUCAUGGAAACUUUCUGGAAUCAGACAUCUUGCUUAAACACUCCUCCUUGAGUCUCUGUAUCCUACCAGGGACUGAAGUCAUGGUGAAGUUAGCUUAACAAAAGGAGAAUGAGGAUCCAUCAGUAAGAUAAAGCAAAACCAAUGCUGAUUAUUAUAUUGGUUCAGCCCUACAGGCCAUGUUUUUCCAACCUUGCUUCCUGCACAGAGUUCGUGGGGAUGGACACACAUUUGCCCCUAACACCCAGGCGCAGUGGGAUCUUGUACCAUGGGAUCAUUAAGACAAUAAUUCUUCUUCCCAAGAUUUCAGUAAUAUAGAGAUUGGUUUACACGUAGGUGUAUAUUUUUGUUACUAUUAAUACUUUUAAUACUAUUAAUACCACACUGGCCCAAUAAACAAACAAAGCAAAGUAUAACUCAAAUGAAACCACUAUUUAAUAUCUUUGUAGAGGACACAAAGGAAGGUUAGGUGUCAGGGAAGGUAAGAACGUAAGUGCUAAUCUCCAGCUUCAAAGACAGCAUUAGUAAUGUUGCAGGGACAGUAAUUACAUGGAAAAAAAUUAAAACACUAAAAUUGCACUUGACAGAAUACCUUUAAACUAAUAUAGUGUUUGAGUCCACUAAUGGUUUCUGGCUCCAAUAAGUUUCCACAAUUUUCUCUUUAUUUAAGUCUUAAACUCUCCAAAUUAAAUGCAAUUGGAAAAUCGGUUUUCUUGUUUUACUUUAUGCUCUUGCUAAAUCAGCAUCAUUAUAUGAUCUUGUUUUCCAGUUUCAAACUUUUCACUCUUUUUCAUUGAUGCAAAGUUUUGUUAGAACAGAACUGAAAACAUUCUUUCUCUAUUAAAGUGAUUUUUAAUUUCAAUUUUGUCCUUUUCAUAUGUCCCAUCUCCUUUGCCCUUCCAGUAUUUUUAUGGUCCAUGACCAAAUUAUGUCUGGGGAUAGCCCUUGGCAUCCUGGUUUGGGCCAGGAUCACAAGGCCACUGGAAAUCAGUGGAAAAUGUUUUCCAGUGCUUCAGACACACACCUACAGAAUAAAGCAGAAAUGGCAGAAGAAAGGAACCUAUCAUCUGUAAUGGUCACUGCCUCAGGUUCUUAUAGCCCUUUGUAGUCUCCUUGCUGGCCAGAUUGCACCCAUCUGCUGUGGUGACUCAUCGAGGAAAAUGUGGGGGAAAGCAAUAAAAGAAUUUUUGAGUGCGGUGACUGUCUCCCAUUUAGUUCCAGUUUUCUGGUGAUGAUGAAUAUCUUGGCUAGAGGUACUUUGAUUAUCUUCAUAUUCCAAGUGAUUUUGUGUUACUUCAAGCGAAAGCCACAAAAGGAGGAAACCUGUGCAUCAAGCACCUUCCAGCUGUGUCCAAGGCACCAGGAAGGUGAAGUUGCAUCUUAUUUUUUUUUUUCCUGGUGCUCACUGAAUAUUCUUUAAAAUUUUAAAAUAGUUUUUUUUUGUGCUGAGACUUGAAAUCUUGGGCAUAGGUACCAGGGGAAAUUCAUGUUCUGCUGGAGCUCAUCUCAGGCUGAGGCUGUUUUGCGUCUGGUAUAUCUGUACAGCCCUUUGUCUUGAAAUUAUGUUUGCUUUUGAGAUAUAUAUACACCAUACGUAUAUAGAUACUAGUAGUUAAUAAGUAAAGGAAAGCAGUAUGUCAGUAGAGGAUUGCUCUUCUGGCUCUCAGUUAAUCCCUUGUCAGCUCAGAAUAACAGCACUUUAACCUACCAGAGCUGCUUUGAGUUUCAUCCUGGGUUAGAAUUUUUAAUCCGGACCAUGAUAUGAACGGAGAGUACUAUUGAUCCAAGGUAAGUGCUUGUGUAUGGAUAGAUAGGAAAAAUCUGUUUAUUUGUUUACGCUACCAGCUGUAAUCAAACGGUACAGGAAAAGCACAAGACCAUUUUUCUAUCAUGAAAUGGCAUUCUGGAUGCAAAUACUGGUCUGAAACCUGCCAGGGUUUUUAGAUCCUCACUUAGUGUUUGCUCAGCAAGCGUCAAAGUUUGCCACUGCAAAAUUUUGCUCUUGCUUUGCAGUCUGAGAAUAAACAGUUUUGCUCAGCUCUGUUAGCAGCCCUUAGCCUCUAAAGGUUAUGAUCAAGCAGAUCUGCUAGAGAAAAGCCACAUUUAAUUGGGAUUCUUAUCUCCUGGGAAUUCUCCCUCGGCUCUGGAGGGGAAAUCUCUCUGCCUUCGCAGUGUAACACUUUUGCUUCAGCACUAGGCAAUGCAUAUUUCAUUGAGCCAUGGGGAGACUCACCGCUGACACCAAAGAGGGCAGCUGGAGCUGCAUGAGGACUUCAGAAGGGCUUCCUGGGAAAGCCCUGACUGCAGGAAUCCUUCCAGAGCUGCUGAAAGAAGAGAAGAUGUGCUCUGUAUAAUUGAGGCAGUUUUCUUCCUCCAGCUGGUAGGAUGAGAUGUAAUGUUCACACAACCGGUGCAGGGAGAAGCAGAGAUGCCUCCGUGGCAGUUUUCCUAGCUGACCUUUUGCUUUACCAGUGAUUUUGCUGAUUCUUUUCCUUCCCUCCCCUGUGCCCCCCCGAAAAAGCUGUGCAACUCACUGCAGCAGACGGAAAAAUUUUGCAUUUCCUAUUUUCUUCCAAGCCAGACUAAGAGCUCUAUGUACUCCUCAUGAGGCAUUUUGCUAAUCGAUACAGAUCCACAUCACCUUGUCACAUUCAGCAAAUGUGAGAGGCUGCCCAAGAGCUGCACCCUUCUCCCACAUGUGGACGUGCCACAGCAAUGUGCAUUAAAAUGCUGUUGUGGUUGUGGGCAGUAUUUUUUGGAAACUGAGCCUCGUGAACGAAGGAGCAGUGGUAAUGAAGUGAUAUACUGUUGGUCUUGGGGCUAGUGUAGUUAAGGAGAAGCUAUAGCUCUUCCUAACAAGGGAAAAAGCAAUUUCUUAGAGUUGAACUUUGCAAUAAUGAAAUGUGAAACUCGGUGUACGUAUCACUGCUGUAGCUAAGGGCCAUCGGCUGCUGAUGGAUCAAAAUGUCCUCAGUCUCCAAAGAAAUUCUCAGAAAGGCCAAGAACAGUUUCGUAGUUUUAGAGGCUGUGGAACAUCUCUGAGCUGCUCAAAACUAGUUGCAAUACCUCAAGCAAUAACCCCACUUGUUUUGUUUUGUUUUCAGAAAAAGCAGAAAGAAUCUAACACAGAAAGUAGAGUAGUAGAAAAAAAACAGUGUAGACUUGAAUUAAAUUCCAUAUUUUUGGGAACAGCAUCAGAAAAUGUGUAUAACUCAGUAAACAUCAUGUAUACAUCUAGCUUAAAAGAAGGAUUUUGCAGAGCAUUUUGAGCAAAACAUAUAUUAAAGUAUCACCAUUUCUGAAUAUUCUUUUUUACAUUAAUGUUAUAGGCUCAGUAGUACUUAAGUAUGAUUAUUAUUUUUAUUGUUUUUGUAUAGUCUUUCUAAUAUGUCUGGUAAGAAAGAUAUAGAAGAAUAAUUAGAGAUAAGCCACUUUUCAAUUAACUGCUACCUGCUGCUACCCGUUGGUGGACAUAAAUUGCUAGCAGAUAAUUUUAUCCUUGUAUUACUUGAGAACCUUUGGACAUCAUGUGCUUGACCUAAAUUUUUAAUGAUAUUAUGAAGCCUUAGUUAAAUAUAAAAAUGAUGAUUUUGGAGCACAGUUCUUUAAUAAAGUUCCUUGGGCUGUAUUUUUCUUGUAUUCAGCUCAGCAUGUGAAUGUUUUUGUGUCCUUUUGCUUUAGCUACAACAAUGUGGUUUCUAAACCUUAACAUGGACUGACUGACAUAACCCAUUAGAGGCUACAUUGGAGAAAAGGCUGGUGAGAUCUGUUCAAAGGAAAUUCUAACUGAGUUUUUGACAAAAAGUAACAGUGCUUAGUCAUGAAUCUAUGGAUGAAUACAAUCCAAGUUUUGGUUCAGAUAUGUUAUUUCCUGAGCCAUAAUGAUGCUGAAAUGUAGGAUGUGUAGUGCUACUAGAAAAAAAAGGAUAGAUUUCAAAUUGUUCUUUUGAAAUAAUUGUGAUUUUUUUCCUCACAUUUCAGCCUAUUCCAAGUAAUGUAAGUGAAUAUAGAAAGAGUUUUCUACUCUUAAAGAUUACCAAGUUUUCUACUCUGUAAAGUGUUCUAUGAAGAAAUAGAAUAUAAUCUUCAGUAGAUAAAAACUAAUUAGGAGGCUUGUGUACUUAAAUGUAGAAUUAGUUCUCUCUAUGCUUAGGAGUGAAGCUUAUACCUUAUUACUCCCACAAGAAGAAAAUAAAAAUACAUCUUUUCAUACAUACCAAAAAUCCAACAAAAAUGAGAGUUUCUUCUAUACAAAAGCUAACCUACUGUGUCUUCCAUCCACAGAUACAACAAAUGACAUCAGUAAGUGAAUAUUUGCAUAGCACCAAGUGUGACAUAUAUGUAGUAUGUAGUCAGCACAAGUUUUACUUAAUCUGUUUUCUACCAUCAUUCCAUUCUAUACUUCCCUCACCAGGUUUAUGUUACAAUGAUGAUUGAAAUAUUCACUAACUUUUUUUUUUUUUUUUUGAUGGGGGAUGUUAAACAGAAUUCUCUUUGGUAUGAGAUGCGCAGUGUUACAGUACUUUAAGAUGAUAUCAUCGCAGACUUAAUCAAAAGUGCACCACUCCACUUUAGUAAUCAUUUUGUUUUCCUAAUCCCAAAUGUUAAAACACAUGUAAGAUACCUCUUGUAUCACCAGGCUUAUUUAAAAAUCAGGGGAUAUAUAUUAAUGUUAGACAUUAAAUUAGCCAUGAGAUUUUAGCCUUCAGGGUUUGGAUUUUCAGACAUUCCCUGCACCCUGUGGGCUGGACGUGCUGCCUUUGUUUAAGUAUGAGCUAAGUCUCUUCCAUGAUGAUGUGACUCCUCCAGGGGAUGUUUGAGCAAAACACCAUAUUGUGUGAGCGGCAAUAAUGCUGGCAAUAUAGAUAAUGCUGGAAAAAAAAAAAGACAAGACAGUGUGUUACGGGUGUAUCUGACCCAUUGAGACUAAAGGGGUACAAAUGAAGGCUGUUUGGAGAUGGGAUAAAAAUUGCAGGUGGCAGGCAGUAGGCAGCACAUGGGAUCAGCCUGUGAAUGUCAGCAUUUGCAGGUUGCCCCCCAAAAUACGCUGUGAAAAACAAAAGGAAAUUUAAUGAAAACAAAACCCAUCCCUCCCCCAGUUUUCAGAUGAAGAGAACUGAGGCCUGGAAGAGCAAAAUAUGUUUCUCUCUUUGCACUUGAAAUAGCACAUCACUGGGGAGUGCCUUGAUGGAGGUGGCAGUGUCCAGGAGCAGGUGGGCUGGAGCUGGAGCACAUCAGUGAAUGUUUCCACAGGGUAACAGAUCAGGAUUUGUCCAACUGUGUCUAAAUAUCACGUCCUUCUGAGCCAUAUGGAAAUGCUCAGGGGGAAGAAUAUUAUCUGGUCUUUGUCAUAAAGGCUGCUAAACCUUCUUCCCAACUGUUCCUUGAUAUUGAUUAUCUCAGUGCAAAGAAAAUGUAGCAGGGAAUUAUGAAGUGCUGUCUGAAGAAAAGAAAACCUAGAACUAGGUUUCUAGGGGUUACCUUUGAUCUAAAGUUUUAAACUUUAAUUUGGUAUUAAAAAGAACUUAGUUGAUCUACCCAAUUUCAUUUAAAAUACAAUGGCAAUAAUUUCUUUGAAUUAUAGAAGUAAAACAAAAACAAACAAAGACACUUCUGAAGCUAGUAAACUCCUUUAACUUAAAGCAUCCACAAAUUUCUUUAAUAUUUCUUUACAACUGCUUUCAGACUGAGAAUCUGUUAUAUGGCUCAGCUGCAGGAAAAUUUUAUGGCUGAGUUAUAACCCCCUCUCCCUAAAAAUAGGCAGCAUAUAAAUGAUGGGACUGCAAUAGGCGAGGAAGGAAGUGAUUACAGGACCCAGAUAAAAGAAAUUCAUCAGAGCCAAGGUCAAGGGAAGGAAGAACUUUGGAAAUGUGCUGAAAGUAAAGGUAAAUCCACUCAUGAAAGUGUCAUUAUCCUGCAGGCUGAUAUCAGAUAGUGAUAUGAGUAUCGGCCUCUAUUUUCUUUUCCUCCAUGUAUGGAUUUCUGAAGUCCAGUUCCAAUUAAGAUACAAGUCCAUGGAGUUUGAUGGUAAGUGAAAAAUAAAAAUGCUGUUGACUGUUUUAAUAAUAAACACCAGAUAUGCCUUUGCAAAUUUUCAAUUCAGAUACACUUUAGGUAGUAGCUGGCACUCAAAAGCUUUCUUGCUCAUGGUAAUCUUACCUAAAUCCCUAAUAACUAUGAAUUAGGCUUUAACUUUGUGACAGCCACCUCUCAGAAAAGAAUGAAAACACUUCUGUUUCAAUCCACAGAAACAUCCUGUUAUGGUAUUUCAGUUCAUCCUCUUUUAAUCACCACAAGAACCUGAAAGUGCAAAGGCGCAUGAAAAAUAAAAAUAAGCACUUUACCAGGCAUUUCUGAACUUUAAAAAACAAGGUUUAGUUUGGUUCAAGUCAGGCUUGACAGAUGAGCAGUAGUGUUUAUAGGUUCUUAGUCUUCCACGCAGGUUGUCCUAUCCAAAUUUUAUGAUGGCAAAAGUUGUCCGAUUAAAUCGCCCAUUUUUCCAUUUGCGCUUUGAUAAAUCACUUUUAUGCAGAUAGUAAAAAACACAGAAAACUUGGCAGAUCCUGAUCUGGCCUGUUAGCCGUGUACUACCUCUCUGCAGGGUGCUGAAAACAGAAUUAUACACAGGGACUGUCCCCUUUUUUCCAGCAGGAUGAGUGCAGGUCUGAAGCACAGGCUGGUGACCGAGGACAGGGCUGGCUUGGAGCAGAGUCCCCAGCAGGACCUGUCCAAGGGCAGCAAAGUUUUCAGCUUGCACCUCUUCUUCUUUCUGAAGUUUUAAGAUUUCUGAAAUGAAUUUUUGCUGUGUGAGGUAAAAGAGGCCUCAGGCAACUUCAUCUUGCACAACCAGCCUUUGCCGACCUUGGCAGAAACACAAAGGUCGCGUUUAACUUUUCACACAGGCGAACUAUUGAACAAUGGCUGCUAUGUAUUAGGAAUAACAAGGAUUUUCUUUAGCAUUUCUUGUGCAGGUUUCUUUUCAUCCAUUCUUUCCUUCAGAGAAUACCCUGAUUUCCCGUGAAAUGGGUUCCCUUUGCAAGGCUGACUCUAGCUGCUGAUUCCUGUCCACCAUCCGUCUUAAUGCUCCAGUGGAGAGAGCAGCUGGUAAUUUGGAGUGAAAAUGUGAUUUUUGCUUAAAAAUAGCAUAAAAAAGACUCAACAAUGGCUAAUAGGAAAAUGUAUCAGAGAAUGACGCUUAUUACAUUGUUCCUGAGCUUCAGUAAUGCGUUAGGAUUUUCUCUCAUUAGAGUGUUAAAGCACGUGAAAAUCCAAACUCAGUGAACAGAAAGAACAAAAACAACACUGAAGUUGUCUCUUCAGGUAAGGCAAAUUCUGGUUUUCUUGUUUAAAGUCUCUGCUACCUACAACACUAACUGGACCAGAAGGCAGGCCUGGUGAAAGGGUGAUGGCAACUGGAUUUGUCCCUGCCUGCCUGAUACACACAGCUCCCCACAGGCACGGUGCCACAGCCCUAGUUUCUGACCCAUCUGGGAUUCAUCAUGGGUCACAACUACCACAGCACAGCUGGAAAACAUGGAAAUAUGCUGGGCUCUGGGGCCAAACAGUAAGUUUCAAGGAGAAACCUCGUAGUCCUUCCCUGACCUGGGAGGCGAUGUCCUGUGAACAAGGCCUGUAACAGAGCCAUGGGGUUUUGCAAAUGAAAGAAAUAGCUGUGUGAAAAGGAAACAAUAUGCCAUAUAAAUGAAAAAAAAAAAUAGGGACCAUUAAAUUUUGUUGGGAGAAAGAGAAAAAAAUCUUAAUUUCCAGCAACAAGUUGCUGCCAUUGUUAUGUGCUGCCAAAUAUUUGUGCUAUUGUACCUUUAGCCUGUAUCUGCACAGUGGAUCUGUGGGUGUGUAUGGGGAACCAUAGCAUGUUGCUUUCCCUUUUGGGGUGUCUUGUGGGCUACAUGAAAUGGAUGGAGACUCCUAAAGAAUAUUAUGGUUGUGCAGGAACACUUUAAUUUUCUUUUAUUUUCAACUAGACAGAUAAAGUCUUCUGGUUAUUUUUCCCUUUGUUUACAACAGAAACCAUAUGGUUAUGAACCAGAGUUCAUUACUGUCAAGAAGCUUGUGGAAGCCUAGAAGAAGGAGUUAUUAACUUUUUAAACAGCAUUUUUUUUAACGCAGAAUAAAAGCUGAAAUGGACUGGCAGCUAGGUGCUGAGCCACAGAUAUGUACAGCUCUUCCUGGCCCCACCGACCUGCCCAGUGCACAGGAAUUAAGGAGAAAAACAGGUACAAGGACUCUGCACGAGAGGGGCAGGGAGACACUGGGGUCCAUGGGGCAGAAAAAGGCAUUGCAGGCAGCGGGUGAAGAGCUGCCAGCAGGGCCGCGUGUGGCUCCUGAUGCUGCUUCUUGUGUGUCCAGGCUUGGUUCUGCAGAGGCGACAUCAUCAGAUGUGCAGAUCUGUGCAGCAGGGUUCCCAAACAGCAGGGGGAAAUUAGAAACUCCAGACACCCUCAGAGUUCCUUUUCAAGUCUUAUUUUCUUACCUCAUUUUAACCUCUGUGAGGCUUUGUGCUCGAGGCCUCUGAGCACAAACUACAGCGAGUGCAUUUGGGAGCACCCGCAUCCCAGCCCCUGAUAAGUAAUUGGGUCUGUGCCAGCACAUUACAAGGCGACUGUAUAGACAAUGCCUUUUAUUGCCUAAUCAAAAUACUCGGGGCUUUUACAUUUUGCAAGGCUGACUUGCCAAAGGCUUCCUUGAGCUGCACAUGCUGCUGCUUUGUCUUGCUUUUAUGCCUUAUUGAAUUCCAUUAAAAGACAAACAAAUCUCGCAGUCAUUAGGCACCUCGCUGACAACACCUGUCAGUCUGUCACUCCGAGUCACAGGCAGCUACCGUGGAGCUUCAUUUGGCAGAAUUAGGGGAAAAUAGAAAGAAACAUAUCUGGGGCACCUGUCCUCUGCGAAGGAGUGAUAGGAUUAUUGGUACCUAAAAGGAGCUCAUUGUGCUGCUCAAAGAAGGUGGAUAACAAGUACCAUUGCAAGCCAGUUGCAGUAAUCAGUGUUGUUCAUCAUGUUCGUGGAUUCUCAAACAUUUUCCCAAUUUUUAAUGGGGAGGAGGCAACCACAUUGCGAGUGUUCAGUUAUGGACACCCUGGAAACGUGCACAAAGACAGAUACACAACCACACAUUCCUCAGCAAUUAAUUGCCAUUGACCUAACUUGCGUUUGUGACCUUGCAAUGUAACAAGUGCUACUUUAAUCCACAGAGAUCCCGUUUGCUUUAGAGGAACUAUUAAAAGGAUUAGGGAAAUUUCCAUUGUGAGACUUUUUACUCUAAGAUGGAAGGUUUUACUAUUGUACCAUGUAUGUACACAGAGAGAAAAUACCUCUUCUUCAGAGGUAAAUGAUUAAAGGGGUUGAAAGCGAACACUACGGAUACUUUUUCCUCAAAAAUGCGCAAACAAAACCCCAGUCUCUGCUUUUUAACCAGUCUCUGAUUUUGUUUGGUCUUUCAACUGGCAUUGUUCCAACAAUUACUACUUAGUGACUUGCAUGUUCAAUGAAGCCUGUGUGGAAAAAGUUUGCACUUUUGUCUUCCACUUCUAUUUUAAACUUUUCUUUGAUUUCAUUCUCUCUUUUUUUUUUUUUGUUUUUUGUUUUUUGGGGGGGGGGUUUAUAGGGAUACAAAAUGGAAGAGAGCUCCAAUAAAUCUGCAUUGCCCUAGCUCCACCGAGAAGCUAUUGUACAGUUCUGCAGCUCCUGGACACCACUGAACAAGGGCAUGCCCAUGGUUUUUUUUGUGAAAUUUGGAGCAUUCCAGGUCACUCUGAUCUUACUGGUAGGAAAACAGGGCAAUAUCCAAAGCUUUGUGAAGUCUGUCAGUUAUGGAUAUGUAAAAUUAGGGAGAAACAGCAAAGAAGUUGCAUCUGAGUAGAGCAUAUGUUAUUUGACAUAUAUUUUUGUACACGUGGAUCUAAAAUUCAAACGAUGACUUUUAUUUCAACUAAUUAUGUGUUGUAGGUCUAUUACAAGUAGUCCUGACAUAAUUUUUUAGGACCAUAGCAUUCCUAUUAUCCUUUAUGUCUUCAAUUAGGAAUGAAGAAACUUGGUAAAGUGUAAAGCUGGAGAAAAAGAGUAAAAGUAAAACACUUGGUAAAGUAUAAAGCUGAAGAAAAAAGAAACUCAGUAAAGAGUAAAUAUCCUGCAGGCUGAAACGCUGUUGGAAUGACCCAUGUUCAUUGGAGCCAAAGGUGUGUUAGGAGAUGAUUUCCUUGAAUACAGCUGAUGUUCCCGUAGCAUGGUUUUUGUGUUUAUCCUGCCAUCCCUUUCCAGCCUUAUUUUGCAAUUGAAAACUGCUUUGUGCUGGUUUAGAUGCAUCACACUCCUGCACCAGUUGAAUGCUCAGGGACUGGUUUGCAUCCUGACUCCUAAGGAUGCAUGAGGACCAGGACUUGCUGGGUCUGGCUGAGCUGUCACAUCAUGAGUUAGCAAAGAUAAUAAAAACUAUCCAGCCCUAGGACACAUACAGUAGCUCUGGAACAGAAAUAACAACCAUUUCUGUACUCAGUACAACUUCUGCAGCCAACACUGAAAACUUUAUUAUUUAAUCUCAUCCAUUCCCAUGUUGGUGCACGAACCACUUGUACACCGUUCCACUCAUUGCAUCCAGACAAUGCGAUCUGUUUUGCUUUUCCAGACAAUUUCAUAUUAUUGUUGUUUUUCUCCUAUUCAGUCCAAGUUUCCUUUAUUUUUUCAAUUUAUUUUUAAGCUUCCCAUUGAAAAUGAUAGCUGUACCACUGCUGGGGCCAGUGCUAUCGGGAAUCCCUUUCUGCUGGGUUUUAUCCAUGGGGCUCUCAUGCUUCUUCUGUGCCCCAUGUGAGCCCAGGGAGGGUAACCACAUCUGUGCGUUAACACCUGGCUGGUAAACAUGAGCUGAGUUCCUGAGAGAACAGUAAAGUUUCUGAAAGAACAGUAAAAGCUCUUAUCUUUUAAUCAGCAGCUCCUGGGCUAAUUCCCAUUGCCCAUUUCUGAGCUCCACCAUCCUCACGAGGCAUUGCACUCUAUCCCAGGGCAAGGAGCCAAUUUGACAGGGUUUUUGUUGCUGACCUGCACUGAAGGUUGCAGCUCUAAGUGCUGUUUCCCUACAAGAAAGGUGCCUUUGUGUCUGAAAGAAAACAUCAUCACUACAUGGCUUUUUCAGGGGAGUUUUGCCUGUUGAUCUUGUAUUAUCAGGAGCAGAAUACCCGAUCUGCGGAGGGAAUAAAGGCUUUCUGUGGUCACAAAAGAUGAGCUGUCUAUGUGGGCUUGGGAAACCUAUGGAGAGGUGCGCCUGACACAAAAUACAGUCAAAUCAGAGGGAGACUUCCCAUUUAUUUCAGUGGGUCUUGGCCCAAACCCUUGUGUUAUGCUGAGACACACCCUGUGUUUGGUAAAAAAGCACCAUGCUGCCCAUAACAGCAGGCUGCUGGGUAUGAAAAGGCAAAGCUGGAGAAGCAAAACCACAAGCGGCUGCACAAGGGUCAGGACCACAGGUGACUCAGCCCAAAGGACAAACUUUGUAUCUGAGAGACGGUCCUACCCCAAAAUAUCUAACUGCCAGUGGUCUUCAGCAGACUUUAUGGAUUUAUGACUGUAUAUAAUGACCAGCUUUUUCAUAUAUAUAUAUAUGUAUAUAUAUAUAUAUAUAGUUUUCAUUAGUGUUACACCAAUCUGAAUCUUUAAAAAACUUACUAAUAGUUUUUAUAGUGAAAGGGGACCAUGAAGAUAAUAUUUUCUAAUUGGUUAUCAUGCAUAACACAGGCCUAAGAAUAUCAGGAGUUGGCCUUUAUCCUGACAUCAGUCCCAGUUCUCUUCCUGUCUUUAUGGAAAAGGAUUUUAUACAAAACUGUAUGUAUUGGGAGAAGGAAAAGCUUGCCCCUAGUUUGUCAGGUGUGCCACUGUAAAUGACCAGUGCAGUCACAUCUGUGAUAAACUGGAGGGUUCUGGUUGCAAGUGGGGUUUACAGCGGCCAUGUGAGGUAAGCACAAAGAAUUUAUUGUGUAAGCAGUUCACGCGUAUAAAAUGUGCAGCUGUCUUUAUUAUUAAAUGACUUUGCUGGCGUUUCAAUAUGCAAUUAAUUCAGCAUUAAAAGGCCCAAAACACUCCACAGGCAUUUCCAUGGCGUGCAGAAGCUGGUAUUUUGCUGAAAAUGGAAGGGGAAAAUCGGCCCUGAAAUGCAUCAUGUGAACACGAGGUGGCACCUGGAUCUCAUAGAUGGAGCAGGAGCCAGCCUAGGCAGACUUCCUACACACCAGGAGCACUUUAUUUAUAUAUUUUUAUUGAAAAGCUGGAGAAACAAUAUGAAGAUAAGGGGCUGAAAAAAAUGCUGUUGGCAUAAUGUAUGGGCUGUAUUUUCUUUUUAAUGCAUGCUUUUUCUGCUUGGGAUAGGAGUGCUGUUUGGCUGAAGGAGUGAAUGCUAGUUAACACUGUACUGUUUCCCAUUGCAAAGGAGCAUGUGGUGACCUUUUGGACCUUCGGAUAUAUCUGCUGCAAUCGGUGGCACCUCUUUUGUAGCUGGGAAGACAUUCUGGCUAUAAUUAAGUUGGGUGCUCUCCUUUGUGCUUUCCCCUGUAGUCAUCAGUCAGGCUGCUGCGUGUAUCUUUGGUGCAUUUUUUCCUUUCUGGUUUGAUCCUAAGGGAGUCGUCUUUCUUCAUUUAUGUUCAGCACAAUAUUCUGGAGCAAUGGAAACCUUCGAUGAACUUUUCGCUUGAGUUCCUGCUGGGGCGACACCAUGGACCAAGCCAUCCAAUUUCCACCACCUCCCUUCUCUCCUGCAGGCUCCUCCAAAGGGGCUGAAGGCUCAGAGGGGCUUCCCGAGAUACCCACUCCCCCAACCCACAGGCAGAGACCUGUGGAGCUCGCUUUGGUCCUAAGGUUGGUUUUCCUCUUAAAACCUGAAGACUCGGAGCUGCAUUUUCUUUCCCUUGAAGACCCCAUCAUGGUGAGUAGGCCAACCUCUCAGUGACAGGCAAAAAUACAUCCAGUACACGCUCACUUUACAUGGACAAGAAGUAACCCUUCUCCAUGAAACCAUCAACAUUGUGGGACAAUUGGCUUGUCCAAAUUAGUAGUCAGUGAAAUCAGCCCUUGUGUUUUUUCCCAUAGAUGCCAGUGCGAAGGAGUGGGUCUCCCAUUUCCCUCCUGUCCAAGCUGAAGGACUCAAUAUAAAACUACAGGAUUUGUGUGAGCUGGAGACAAAACAUGCUCAGAAGAGGAAAUUCAGCUAGAGAACAUUUUUGAAGUAGUACAUUCAAAAUCUCUAUUUCAGAAAAACCUGGUAAAACUUGUCUUGUACUAUGGGAUGUUUAGUAUGUUAACAUGGAAAAGGCCACAAUAGCUUGUAAAAUCUAGGACAGAAACCUGAAACGUUCACCUCCACCCACUUUAAAUAUAUCAGGCUUUGAGUAACAAAAUAAUAAACUCAGUCUCAGAGAUUUUACUCCAGAAAGGGAGAAGGAACGCUAAUGAUUUCAUAUUAGCACUGAGUUCUGAUAGGACAUGCUCAUCCAUUACAAUAAAAGCACAUAAAGUUAUGAUAAAUGUAAGCUUAAAAAUGGAAAUGCCAGCAUCAAAAAUUGCUGUGAAACUGCUGCUCCCUGAAUGUGAUCUGAUUGUGCUGUAAACUUGAUUGUGCUGUAACUUUCAAACAAUUAUGAAAACAUUUAUGUAUUUUUAUUAGCACUUGUAAAUUAUGCAGGGCUUUUUACUGUAGAGUCAUAAGAAAGAGGAAAGCCUAAAUGUACGGCAGAGAUCUUCCAAGUUCCUAACAUAUGAAAAAGUCAUGAUGAUCCUUCACUUAAUUAAUGUCAUGUUUAAUAGCACAUUAUUUUCUGCAAAGAUUUAGCUUGGCCUCAUAGAGGGAGAUGGAAAUCGCUGAUGGCUGGAUAACCUUUUCUGGUCUCUUGGGAAUAAAAUCACAGCCCUGGAUAUAACUAUUACUAAUGCUGAGGUGUCUUCCCAGCACACUGCUGCCACGUCCUGUGGACAAGGGAAAGCCCUCAGGUGGAACAACGUGGCUGCAGCUCCGUGCUGGUGGCACACUCAGCUUCUCUUCUUCUCCUGUUCUUCAUCUUCUUCUUCUUUCUCUUCUUUGGGAAAUUUGGUGACAUGGCUUUCAUAAGGGCAGGAUUUGACCUUAAGCCCUGAAGUAGCUUCAUUUUUGAAUGGUAUUUUUUUAUUAAUUCAAAUGGCAGUUUUGUCUGCGUUUUGCCCUUAGACCCAAGCUUAGGGGUGUCAUGAAAACUUCAAAUAACUUAAAUCUGGUGGAAACAGUCUUUGUUACAUCUGAAAAUGCUUGGCUGGCUUCUGCAGGGAGCAGGAUCUCCUCCAAGUCAGCACACCCAAACCUGCACCUGCAAUUGCUGUAAAGGAGGAAAUCCUCAGUGGAAGGAUAAGCUACUUUGGAAAUAACAAAACCCAAGUCCAAGCAAAGACUCAAAGGAAAAGGUGAAGAUAUUUUAACCACUGACACAGAUUUCUCCUUUUUUCAUGCAGAACAGCAGCUGAAAACAUUUAAAGAAAAUGAUUCUUAGCAGUGAGUGGCUUCAGGCUUCUGCUGGGCAGUGCUGGAGGAAGUUUGAAAAAGAAGUAAAACCAUCACACUUCAGGAAUGAAGUACUGAAAAUGUUAGCAGCUUGGACUCUCCAGCAGGCUGGGAGCUGCUGGCAAGAGGAACAAGCUUUCCGCAUGGGUAGUGAGCGUGGCAGAGCACUACGGGGUUGAUCAGCAUCUCCUCAACUUCGCCUGGUGACGCUUUCAAGUCUUGUUUGCAGCAUCAACGUCGCCAUUGCAAAAUGUAAGCUGUGAGCAGCUACAAAUGAGUUAUGAACGUUAUUAAUCAGAAUCGCCCCCAAAUCACCACCACCUGAAGAAAGGAAGAAUAAUUCAUUGCAGUAUUUCUGUUUGACAUCACCCACGGUAAAGUGUGAACAGCAACACGCUACUUAUUGGAAACUAAGCAAUGAGAUUUACAGCUAAAUGACUUUCGGGGAGAACAACAGAUUUAUAUGGUAAUACAGACCUUACUGCAGAUGCAGCAUCCUCACAAAUUUGUACACGUGGGCUGCUCUGCUUGCUAAAAGCUCAGUCUGCAGCCUAAGCAGAGGUAACCGGCGGCAGAAGAGGAAAAUAUCAUCCCCCUCCAGUCGAGUUCUGCUCCUCAGGCAGCCAGCGCUGUCACAGCACAUCCAAAGCUGUGAGCAUGCCCCUGUCAGCGGGGCUGUCAGUCAGUCGCUGCCCCAGCCCUGCCUGAGUGCUGUGCAAUAUUGUGCCCUUACUGAAAUGCAGCGAUAGUAAUACUGAAGGUGUUUUUUUUUUUUUUUUCUUCUUUUUUUUUGUUGCUAGCAGACAACUCAAUUAUGAAUGAAAAGGAACUUUUUUAUUAAGCAAAAUUGAGGGGGUUACGAGGCAGUUUUUUAACAUUUUAACCCUGGAUUUGCUUUUUGCUCUUCUCUGGUGAAGUCUUCAGCUGGGCUUCAACCUGAUCUCCCUGUGCCAGGGAGAGCCACAGCACACACGUGGCUUUGAAAGCCUUUGAGAAAAGACAGGGAAAGCUUUAAUAAUAUCCCAACACGUGCCAGCCCAAGCAGCCAGCUGCUGCUUUUUUAUUUUUGUAGCUUUCCAAUCUGAACAUGGAGGAGAUGAUUAACAGCAGUGCUCAACCCGCAUUUUCUAGACAAACACCCCUUCAAAAAAAGCCCAAAGUCCAUUUGGAGUAACUUUGAUGGUCCCUGAAAAACCUACUGCAAUUUGCUGAGGUCCUUUCAAAGCUCAAGGUGAUGUUUAAGGUGAUGCAGCUUGUGCCCCUGACUUCUCCUGUCUUCUGGAACUCCAGAGGAUUUUAUCUGUACCAGAAUUAUCCUGGACAUUUUAGUACAAUGAUGUGCAUGUCAGGUAAAUGCUGUUGGCAUGAUUCUGAGGCAUGCAGUCAUGUUUAAGAUGAUAUUUCUGUCAUCAGCAGAAAGGUGCGCAAUAGAAAAAGACAGAAAUGGCCUUACCUGAACCUGCAGCUUCCUUCUCGAAUAACCUUUAAUUACAUAAAGCCACAUGAGCGAGGCUUGUUCAGGUGGAAUCACUGUUCUUUUCUCAAAAUUUCGGUAUAGAUUGGUACAACCCUAUGGAAGCCAGUAGAAUCACGCAGAAGCAGCUGGCAGCCAGCCCAGCAUCGUGUUUAAAGCAUCUGUUUUGAUAGCAGCCUGCCAUGAUCUAAAAAAAAAAAAUAAAAUAAAUUUAAAAAGAAUACUAUUGACUGCAAAAGCACUUCUCUUCAGGAAAAGAACACGAGAUUAUAUUAGAGGAAAUUUAAUUAAAUCACCAGAAAACCUACAAAAGUUCUAAUCCCAGAUCUAUCAGUUUGCUUCUAAAAUUGUCCAUAAAUCUCCUUGGUAGUCAAUUUUAUAAUUCCUAGAAGACAAAAUAAAAAAUGAAUGAGAAAUGAAAUAGGCUAAGGAUUGGGAUAUUUUUUCUUUAGGCGGAAAGCUGACCAUGAAUUUCAUUAAUCCUGCUUAAUAUCCUACCUUGGCAGUCAUUGUAAGAACUUAACAUUCAUCUACAGUGAUAAAGUAUACAGAACUAGGAAAAAGAAAAAAAAAAAAAAGGUUUCCAGACCUGCUUUUAUAAUGUAUAUGAAACAUACUGUGACCCACAUUAGCUUUAACAACAGCGAGAGAGAUGGAAUCAGGGGAUGCCGCCUCGUGGAUACAAUUAUGUGCAUUUCUGGUGUGUAGGGAAAAACUGGUAUUACUGUAAUUACCACAGCUAAAAUUUAGAGUGUUCUGCUGUUUUUAAGCUGGGAUGGACUCAGGGAAUUGAAAUAAAUGAUACAGCUUUGCAAA